UACGGGGGGAGCAAGCGUUGUUCGGAUUUACUGGGCGUAAAGGGCGCGUAGGCGCCUCUGCAAGUCGACUGUGAAAUCUCCGGGCUUAACCCGGAAAGGUCAGCCGAUACUGCAGGGCUAGAGUGCAGAAGGGGCAACUGGAAUUCCACGUGUAGCGGUGAAAUGCGUAGAGAUGUGGAGGAACACCAGUGGCGAAGGCGACUCUUUGGCCUAUAACUGACGCUGAGGCGCGAAAGCGUGGGGAGCAAACAGG
rnacentral:rRNA from 1 species